AAUUCUCAAAAUAAAUCUUUUGUUAAUUCAAUUGGUUUCAUUUUGGACUUGGGGGUCUGCAGAUUAACCUCUGCUCCUCUUAAAUAUAUUAGCUGGAUCUUGGAGAGGUCGGUUCCACUCGGCGUGAUAAGUAUCACUCGCUGAGGACACUGUAAAAGGUGGCCGGGCUCACUGCAGAACCGCUUCUAAUGGUCCAUUGGAUUGGACAAAUAAAAUUUAUG
rnacentral:misc_RNA from 1 species